CACUCCUACGGGAGGCAGCAGUAGGGAAUCUUCGGCAAUGGGGGGAACCCUGACCGAGCAACGCCGCGUGAGUGAAGAAGGUUUUCGGAUCGUAAAGCUCUGUUGUAAGAGAAGAACGGGUGUGAGAGUGGAAAGUUCACACUGUGACGGUAUCUUACCAGAAAGGGACGGCUAACUACGUGCCAGCAGCCGCGGUAAUACGUAGGUCCCGAGCGUUGUCCGGAUUUAUUGGGCGUAAAGCGAGCGCAGGCGGUUAGAUAAGUCUGAAGUUAAAGGCUGUGGCUUAACCAUAGUAUGCUUUGGAAACUGUUUAACUUGAGUGCAGAAGGGGAGAGUGGAAUUCCAUGUGUAGCGGUGAAAUGCGUAGAUAUAUGGAGGAACACCGGUGGCGAAAGCGGCUCUCUGGUCUGUAACUGACGCUGAGGCUCGAAAGCGUGGGGAGCAAACAGGAUUAGAUACCCUGGUAGUCCACGCCGUAAACGAUGAGUGCUAGGUGUUAGGCCCUUUCCGGGGCUUAGUGCCGCAGCUAACGCAUUAAGCACUCCGCCUGGGGAGUACGACCGCAAGGUUGAAACUCAAAGGAAUUGACGGGGGCCCGCACAAG
rnacentral:rRNA from 1 species